UAUCGGUACGAUAAGCUCAAACGACAUGAGUCGAGGGGGUUUUCCCUACAUGACAAUAUCAUGAGGAAGUGGAAAAGAACUCGCAUGAGGUCUAAAUGAAAGUGCUGAUGAUAAAGCAGAAAUGCCUGUUCUCUCUAUCGAUGCAUUAAUAAAAUCUCUGUAUUUUGCAUCGCUUUUCUAUAUAUGACUUUAUGCACAUUAAUCAAUUUUACAUCAUGUGAGUCCAUUUCCUCUCCUGACAGGACAUAAUACCUGUUAUAACAGGUAACGAGAGAUUAUGGCACAGUCAUAAGAUAAAUGCUCAGUGACAAAAUCUUUGUUCUAAGGCAAGUACAGCUAGUUUUGUAAAAUGCUCCCCCCACCCCCCAGUCGAAAAGGUCCAAUAUUGACAAUCAACAUGUUUGGAGUUUUAAUGGGCCUUUUUAAGUAGAAAUGUAGAUCAAUUAAUUGGGAUAUGGGUAGCAUGAAUCUACCAGUGCUGUGAUUUUACAGGAGUGAAUAAGUGUAGGUUCUGACUAGGUUACAAUGCAAGUGCCUAAGCUUUUCUUUCCUCUUUUUUUACCAACUCCUUCUCUCCCCCUGAGACCC